rnacentral:rRNA from 1 species
AUUAGUUCAAGUAGAGCCUGCUCACUGAUCCUUUAAGAGCCGCAGUAUCCUAACUGUGCUAAGGUAGCAUAAUCAUUUGUUAUUUAAUUGAUAACUUGUAUGAAAGGUUUGACGAGAAAUCUACUUUCUAUUUGUUAGUAAAUAAAAAUUAUAUUAAAGUAAAAAAGCUUUAUUGUAUCAAAAAGACGAUAAGACCCUAGAACCUUUAUCUUUAGAUUUUAUUGGGGCGAUAUAGACCUAGACAGAUUAUUAUCUUAACCUUCUGAAGGCCGAUAUUUAACUUCUUUAAAAAAAAAAAGGUACUCUAGGGAUAACAGCAUGAUCCACUUCAAGAGACCUUAUCGACAAGUGGGAUUUUGACCUCGAUGUUGAAUUGAUUCUCUUUUUAAAGCAAAAUUUACUUAA